GACCAUAUCGCGUUGAAACACCAGUUCCCGUACGAUCACCGAAGUUAAGCAACGUCAAGUCUGGUCAGUAUCUAGAUGGGUGACCACUUGGGGAUACCAGUUGCUGUAAG